rnacentral:rRNA from 1 species
GGAGGGUGUCGGAAUUACUUGGGGCGUAAAGCGAGCGCAGGCGGUUUCUUAAGUCUGAUGUGAAAGCCCCCGGCUCAACCGGGGAGGGUCAUUGGAAACUGGGAGACUUGAGUGCAGAAGAGGAGAGUGGAAUUCCAUGUGUAGCGGUGAAAUGCGUAGAUAUAUGGAGGAACACCAGUGGCGAAGGCGGCUCUCUGGUCUGUAACUGACGCUGAGGCUCGAAAGCGUGGGGAGCAAACAGGAUUAGAUACCCUGGUAGUCCACGCCGUAAACGAUGAGUGCUAAGUGUUGGAGGGUUUCCGCCCUUCAGUGCUGCAGCAAACGCAUUAAGCACUCCGCCUGGGGAGUACGACCGCAAGGUUGAAACUCAAAGGAAUUGACGGGGGCCCGCACAAGCGGUGGAGCAUGUGGUUUAAUUCGAAGCAACGCGAAGAACCUUACCAGGUCUUGACAUCCUUUGACCACUCUAGAGAUAGAGCUUUCCCUUCGGGGACAAAGUGACAGGUGGUGCAUGGUUGUCGUCAGCUCGUGUCGUGAGAUGUUGGGUUAAGUCCCGCAACGAGCGCAACCCUUAUUGUUAGUUGCCAUCAUUUAGUUGGGCACUCUAGCGAGACUGCCGGUGACAAACCGGAGGAAGGUGGGGGAUGACGUCAAAUCAUCAUGCCCCUUAUGACCUGGGCUACACACGUGCUACAAUGGGAAGUACAACGAGUCGCUAGACCGCGAGGUCAUGCAAAUCUCUUAAAGCUUCUCUCAGUUCGGAUUGCAGGCUGCAACUCGCCUGCAUGAAGCCGGAAUCGCUAGUAAUCGCGGAUCAGCACGCCGCGGUGAAUACGUUCCCGGGCCUUGUACACACCGCCGUCACACCACGAGAGUUGUAACACCCGAAGUCGGUGAGGUACCUUUUGGAGCAGCCGCUAAGUGGAUAAUAAUUUGGGUGAUCUACAAAAAGGUAACCCUAAAAAA